rnacentral:lncRNA from 1 species
CACCAUACAGAUGCUAAUUUUUGACAGCUCUUAUAUACCAAUUUUUAAAACGUAAUAGUGAUUUUCAACAUAUGGUGCAAGUCUUGCUGGUGUGUGUUUAAUGUGGUGACACUUGCCAAAACUGCUUGGCAAAACAUGUCAAAUAGGAUGCUUGAGUCAGAACGCUAGUGGAAAUGUCUCUAAACAGCAGUAUGUAUCAUUAUGAUAUAUUUUUGUAAACAUAGUGAUGGCUUCUUUCAGUCAUGUAAGUACUGGAUAAAAAUAACCACUUCACUUGAAAUAAUGUGGAAAAUGCCACCCAGUUGAGGGCCCUCUGCAGUUACUUGAAUUAUCAGCCAGUGGUUAGACAGUGGAGAAUUAAUGCUGGACAACAUGAAGUGCACAAGUAAUAACUCACCAGUACUUGCCUCCUAAUUAAAAUUCAAAACUAUAAAGAGUAUAUUUACCUGUUAGAGACCACUUUCACCCUCCAUGGUGUAUUCAGUUGCAGAGAACACUCAGAGGAAGGACUUCAGUCAUCUUAACGACCAGCUCGGUCAGUAUGGCUUAUUGAUAGCACUGAAUUACCAUAUCUUUGUGGUAAAAGCACCAGAUUAAAUUUCCUCAUGACUGUCCAAAACUGGCUAAUAGAAGCACUAGGCUUUCACUGAAUCACAGUUCCCCAAAUUACAAUAAAAAAUACAUCUGCUAAGAUGACUUACUCAAAAGCAUGUUCAUUGUCAGAAUUGGCCCAGUACAAGUAGCCUGAUGGGUCUUGCCUGCAUUGGAAACUCUUCAGACCCAUUCAGAACCACUGACAAAGCUAUAGCUUAUAGUUCAGAGUC